AACGCUAGCUACAGGCUUAACACAUGCAAGUCGAGGGGAAACGACAUCGAAAGCUUGCUUUUGAUGGGCGUCGACCGGCGCACGGGUGAGUAACGCGUAUCCAACCUGCCCACCACUUGGGGAUAACCUUGCGAAAGUAAGACUAAUACCCAAUGACGUCUCUAGAAGACAUCUGAAAGAGAUUAAAGAUUUAUCGGUGAUGGAUGGGGAUGCGUCUGAUUAGCUUGUUGGCGGGGUAACGGCUCACCAAGGCAACGAUCAGUAGGGGUUCUGAGAGGAAGGUCCCCCACAUUGGAACUGAGACACGGUCCAAACUCCUACGGGAGGCAGCAGUGAGGAAUAUUGGUCAAUGGACGAGAGUCUAAACCAGCCAAGUAGCGUGCAGGAAGACGGCCCUAUGGGUUGUAAACUGCUUUUAUAAGGGAAUAAAGUGAGUCUCGUGAGGCUUUUUGCAUGUACCUUAUGAAUAAGGACCGGCUAAUUCCGUGCCAGCAGCCGCGGUAAUACGGAAGGUCCGGGCGUUAUCCGGAUUUAUUGGGUUUAAAGGGAGCGUAGGCCGGAGAUUAAGCGUGUUGUGAAAUGUAGACGCUCAACGUCUGCACUGCAGCGCGAACUGGUUUCCUUGAGUACGCACAAAGUGGGCGGAAUUCGUGGUGUAGCGGUGAAAUGCUUAGAUAUCACGAAGAACUCCGAUUG
rnacentral:rRNA from 1 species